rnacentral:rRNA from 1 species
AAUCUUCCGCAAUGGGCGAAGGCCUGACGGAGCAAUGCCGCGUGGGUGAAGAAGGCCUUCGGGUCGUAAAACUCUGUUAUAAGAGAAGAACAAAUUGUAGAGUAACUGCUACAGUCUUGACGGUAUCUUAUCAGAAAGCCACGGCUAACUACGUGCCAGCAGCCGCGGUAAUACGUAGGUGGCAAGCGUUGUCCGGAUUUAUUGGGCGUAAAGGGAGCGCAGGUGGUUUCUUAAGUCUGAUGUGAAAGCCCACGGCUUAACCGUGGAGGGUCAUUGGAAACUGGGAAACUUGAGUACAGAAGAGGAAUGUGGAACUCCAUGUGUAGCGGUGGAAUGCGUAGAUAUAUGGAAGAACACCAGUGGCGAAGGCGACAUUCUGGUCUGUUACUGACACUGAGGCUCGAAAGCGUGGGGAGCAAACA